rnacentral:lncRNA from 1 species
UCAAUGCUUUUGCCAUGAUUGGUUUGAAUUGUUCAUACUGCUUUGGAUUUUUGAAACCUUAACAACUUGAAUGUUACUUGAAAUCUCUUUGUACCAAAACGAAAUUUGUAACUUCAAACUUGAAUGCCAUUUGGAAUUUGGUCUUUGUAGCCAAUAUGAAUGCAACUUUGUAGUAGUUCCUGAAGAUGGCAAUUGUAUAAAUGUCUUCUGCCAGAGGAGUUGCAACGCUGCCCAUAUUCGAAGAUUGGUCGGGAAACCGGGUGCAAGUAUUGCCUUGGAACAGGUAUGUUUCGAAUCUUCACAGAUUGUCACUCUCUUGAUGUUAUCUACAUAGAUUAUCACUCUCCAUGUGUUCUUCUUAUCUAUUGCUUUUCCAUGAACUAAUUUUACAUUUACUCUUCUUGCACAUGUCAU